rnacentral:lncRNA from 1 species
CCCGGUGCUCCUCCAGCACCAUAUCCGCUACCACCACCUUCGCCACCACCACUUGCAUGUCCAGCAUCGUGUCCUCCACCAGCAUAGCCACCUCCUGCCCCGCUUCCACCACCACCUCCUCCAGCAUAUCCAGCACCAUGCUCUCCUCCAGCUGCAUAGCCAGAACCACCACCGGCUCCACCUCCACUGCCACCUCCGCUGGCAUAACCAUGGUCACCUGCAGCUCCAUAUCCACCACCUCCACCGGAACCUCCUCCACCACCACCAGCAUAGCCUCCACCAGCAACACCACCCCCAGCGCCGCCACCAAUGCCAUGGCCUGCACCAUAGGCGCCUACCUCACCUCCAACACCUACAUGAUCAUAAGUGAGGAGUGUUCUAGCAGCUGAACAUAUUCCUAUGCCCAAUAACAGAAAGAAAACAAUGUU